AUUGAACGCUGGCGGCAGGCCUAACACAUGCAAGUCGAACGGUAACAGGAAGCAGCUUGCUGCUUUGCUGACGAGUGGCGGACGGGUGAGUAAUGUCUGGGAAACUGCCUGAUGGAGGGGGAUAACUACUGGAAACGGUAGCUAAUACCGCAUAACGUCGCAAGACCAAAGAGGGGGACCUUCGGGCCUCUUGCCAUCUGAUGUGCCCAGAUGGGAUUAGCUAGUAGGUGGGGUAACGGCUCACCUAGGCGACGAUCCCUAGCUGGUCUGAGAGGAUGACCAGCCACACUGGAACUGAGACACGGUCCAGACUCCUACGGGAGGCAGCAGUGGGGAAUAUUGCACAAUGGGCGCAAGCCUGAUGCAGCCAUGCCGCGUGUAUGAAGAAGGCCUUCGGGUUGUAAAGUACUUUCAGCGGGGAGGAAGGGAGUAAAGUUAAUACCUUUGCUCAUUGACGUUACCCGCAGAAGAAGCACCGGCUAACUCCGUG
rnacentral:rRNA from 1 species